rnacentral:rRNA from 1 species
CCUACGGGUGGCAGCAGUGGGGAAUAUUGGACAAUGGGGGGAACCCUGAUCCAGCGACGCCGCGUGAGUGAAGAAGUAUUUCGGUAUGUAAAGCCCUAUCAGUAGGGAAGAAAAUGACGGUACCUGACUAAGAAGCACCGGCUAACUACGUGCCAGCAGCCGCGGUAAUACGUAGGGGGCAAGCGUUAUCCGGAUUUACUGGGUGUAAAGGGAGCGUAGACGGUGUAGCAAGUCUGAUGUGAAAGCUUGGGGCCCAACCCCAGGACUGCAUUUGAAACUGUUGGACUGGAGUACAGGAGAGGUAAGUGGAAUUCCUGGUGUAGCGGUGAAAUGCGUAGAGAGUAGGAGGAACACCAGUGGCGAAGGCGGCUUACUGGACUGUAACUGACGUUGAUGCUCGAAAGCGUGGGGAGCAAACAGGAUUAGAUACCCUAGUAGUC